AGGACGAACGCUGGCGGCGUGCUUAACACAUGCAAGUCGAGCGGCAGGCGCGGGGGCAACCCUGGCGGCGAGCGGCGGACGGGUGAGUAAGGCAUCGGAAUCUGCCCUGAUGUGGGGGAUAACGUAGGGAAACUUACGCUAAUACCGCAUACGACCGAGAGGUGAAAGCGGGGGACCGAAAGGCCUCGCGCAGCAGGAUGAGCCGAUGUCCGAUUAGCUGGUUGGUGGGUAAAGGCCUUACCAAGGCGACGAUCGGUAGCUGGUCUGAGAGGAUGAUCGAGCCACACUGGGACUGAGACACGGCCCAGACUCCUACGGGAGGCAGGC
rnacentral:rRNA from 1 species